CUAAGGAUGAUCCUUCAGAUCAGCUCACGCUAUCUAUCGGAUCGUUUUAGAAACAUUCAGGGGCCAAUCGAUCGCAAGAUCAUUGAGCUCCAUUGGCGGGAUUUCGCCGUCUUCGUUUCUCUUUCUUCGCGGACGAACACGCGCCAGGGGCUUAGCGCUGUGCGGUUGCAUUCGGCGCUGGACGCCGGCUGCGCGCACGCAAGAUCCCUAGUCCUAUGAAGGAUAGCGUUAGGGGCUUGUAGCUCAGUUGGUUAGAGCGCGCGCUUGAUAAGCGUGAGGUCGGAAGUUCAAGUCUUCCCAGGCCCACCACUUUCAUCGAGUGAGCAUUCGUCUUCUGGUUACGGGGCCAUAGCUCAGCUGGGAGAGCGCGUGCUUUGCAAGCAUGAGGUCGUCGGUUCGAUCCCGUCUGGCUCCACCAGAUGGUUUGAUCACCAACGGCGUAACCGUCGUCCGCGAAACAUCACUUCGCACUCAUUGGUCCGGAUGGACGGUGACGUGCGUGUUUUCUGACAUCGUAAAGAGGAGAUCGAUCCGAGUUUGGAUCAAGCGAAGCAAUUCGCCUGAACCAUUCACUAUCUCCGGGAUCAUUUCGGCGCUCGCUUCAUUCGUGAGAUUGAAUGCGGGUUGUAAAUGAUCUCUGUUAGCGAAGCUUGACCGCCUCGCUAUCGGGCCGAUCUUACGAAGCAAGCUGGUCUUUCUAGUCAAUGUCCGGCUGCGCAAUCGCAUUCAUCGAGGAUGCGCGCCUGAGACUUCGGUCUUUGGGCAGUUGUGCAGACAACAUUCUGCCGAGUGUGUGGACAUUGAUAAUGAGAGC
rnacentral:tRNA from 1 species